rnacentral:rRNA from 1 species
UAACUAAGGAAUUGACGGGGCCCGCACAAGCGGUGGAGUAUGUGGUUUAAUUCGAUGCAACGCGAAGACCUUACCUGGUCUUGACAUCCCGGAGACCCUUAGGAAACUAGGGGGUGCUUCCAUCUGGAAGAAUCUGGAGACAGGUGCUGCAUGGCUGUCGUCAGCUCGUGUCGUGAGAUGUUGGGUUAAGUCCCGCAACGAGCGCAACCCUUGCCUUUAGUUGCCAGCAGUUCGGCUGGGCACUCUAAAGGGACUGCCGGUGUUAAACCGGAGGAAGGUGGGGAUGACGUCAAGUCCUCAUGGCCUUUAUGACCAGGGCUACACACGUACUACAAUGGCCGAUACAAAGGGCAGCGACACUGCGAGGUGAAGCCAAUCCCGUAAAAUCGGUCUCAGUCCGGAUUGGAGUCUGCAACUCGACUCCAUGAAGUUGGAAUCGCUAGUAAUCGUGGAUCAGCAUGCCACGGUGAAUACGUUCCCGGGCCUU